AGGGAAGCCGGUGCGAGCCCGGCGCGGUCCCGCCACUGUGACCCCACCUCGGGGGAGCCAGACACCU
rnacentral:ncRNA from 2 species